AUACUGCCGUGGCGUAUAAAAGGAGGUGAGCUGCCUCUAAACCAGAUCAAACCAAACUCUGACACAACCUCUGCACAACAAUCACUGCAAGCUUGUCCUACAGGAUGCAACCCAGAAGAUUACUCUUGUCUGUGGCUCCUCUACCGACAAUAACAGAGUCGCAUGAGGAUGUCUCACAGUCACUAGAGGAAUAUAUAAACUCUUAUAAAGAACUGGCACAGCCUGCUUGUGGCCCUUUGAGGAUAUCCAGAAGGCGUAAAUCGGCAGGAAAGCAUGCGGGUUCAAGCACAAUGCCACGCAGUGCUUCUCGGGCUCUGCAGCCCCGCCGUGCUUCCCUUGGUCUGGAUGAAGCCACUCUAAGGUUCAGCAGUCAGGUACACUGUGGCAUUAAAGACCCCCUGGACUGGUUAUUUGCACAGACGCAGUUACAGUCACACACAGAGGAUCUGCACAGGACUGACAGUGCUGCUUUGUGGUUACUCUAAUAAGCCAAAACACAUUGACUUGAGAACGGGAGGACAACACUGGAUGAGUGAUGAAUGAAAUCAGUGGAAGAUCACAUAAACCGGACUUCUUAAUUUAUUGCCAGAACAGACUUUUUGUACAAUGGUGCUAAUGUUUACACCCUGUCAAAGUUGCUAUUUUAUUACUGCUUUAUUACUGCUUUAUUGUUGUUUUUUAAUAAAUUGAACAAUUUAUCUUUA